CGAGACACAUCUAGCUGAAUGAGUCUGUCAAGAUGAAAUAAACUUGAUGGGAUAAUUGAUGAUAACUGGUUGGCAGACAAUAUCAGGUAUUCUAACUUGGUCAGGUUACCAAUCCCCUCUGGUAUUGAACCAGACAAUUUAUUGUUGUAGAGGAACAAACGUUCUAUAUUCUUGAGCAUUGCAAUCUGAGGUGGGAUGGACCCAAACAACUGAUUUCCGUCCAGGUCAAGCCACUUGAGAUUCUCCAUCAUUACGAUGGAUUUUGGAAUCGUGCUA
rnacentral:rRNA from 1 species